rnacentral:rRNA from 1 species
UGAAGUCUUCGGAUGGAUUCUUAAAUCAUCUUAGCGGCGAACGGGUGAGUAACGCGUGAGAAACCUGCCUUUCACAAAGGGAUAGCCUCGGGAAACUGGGAUUAAUACCUUAUGACACUUUAACCUCGCAUGAGGAAUAAGUUAAAGCGUAAAGCGGUGAAAGAUGGUCUCGCGUCCUAUUAGCUAGUUGGUGAGGUAACGGCUCACCAAGGCCAUGAUAGGUAGCCGGCCUGAGAGGGUGAACGGCCACACUGGAACUGAGACACGGUCCAGACUCCUACGGGAGGCAGCAGUGGGGAAUAUUGCACAAUGGAGGAAACUCUGAUGCAGCGACGCCGCGUGAAUGAUGAAGGCCUUCGGGUCGUAAAAUUCUGUCCUUGGGGAAGAUAAUGACGGUACCCAAGGAGGAAGCCCCGGCUAACUACGUGCCAGCAGCCGCGGUAAUACGUAGGGGGCAAGCGUUGUCCGGAAUUAUUGGGCGUAAAGGGUUCGCAGGCGGU